GCAGAGCAAGGUCGAUGUCUAAGCUGGCGAUGGAGGGCGUUUGGUGGGGAGAGUCACAGUGGCCUGUGAUAAGGUGUUAGAGCCCAAGUGACUUCAGGAGGCUUCUGUGUAUCAGGGAGUGGGAGAGUCGGAGCAUGGUGAGGAGGGUUCCCCGUGCAGUGGAGAGUCACGGCCACAGCCAGGGGACAACGGUGUCCACGUGAAACUAAGUGUCACUGCAGGGUGACAGAGCCCAAGCAGCGGGAGGAGGUCAUCUGUGCAAGACAGGAGAUAGAAGUGGAAAUGAAGGUUCCAGAUAUUAGCUGUGUUAUGUGAUGGAAUUUCGCAAGUGAAUACUGAUUUUAAGGGAGUCUUCUUCCUCAAAUAUUGGCUACAAAAGAGAGUCAAGGAGAGAGAGCAUCAAGAUUUAAGGUGGUGAUCCGGGCAGAAAGAGUAAGUA